ACUGCUUCUCGGCCUCUUGACUAAGGUCAAGUGUAGCAUCUGUGCUUAUCAGUUUAAUAUCUGAUAUGUCCUCUAUCCAAGGAAAACAUAUUAAAUGGACUUUUGGAGCAAGGAAAUGGAAUGGGAGCUUGCUCCACCCACUCCACAUAUCAACCUGGUAUUGCCGUACUUCCAGGAUCAGUGCACCCCUU
ensembl:snRNA U2 U2 spliceosomal RNA